rnacentral:rRNA from 1 species
GAUGAACGCUGGCGGCGUGCCUAAUACAUGCAAGUCGAGCGAACGGACGAGAAGCUUGCUUCUCUGAUGUUAGCGGCGGACGGGUGAGUAACACGUGGAUAACCUACCUAUAAGACUGGGAUAACUUCGGGAAACCGGAGCUAAUACCGGAUGAUAUUUUGAACCGCAUGGUUCAAAAGUGAAAGACGGUCUUGCUGUCACUUAUAGAUGGAUCCGCGCUGCAUUAGCUAGUUGGUAAGGUAACGGCUUACCAAGGCAACGAUGCAUAGCCGACCUGAGAGGGUGAUCCGCCACACUGGAACUGAGACACGGUCCAGACUCCUACGGGAGGCAGCAGUAGGGAAUCUUCCGCAAUGGGCGAAAGCCUGACGGAGCAACGCCGCGUGAGUGAUGAAGGUCUUCGGAUCGUAAAACUCUUUUAUUAGGGAAGAACAUAUGUGUAAGUAACUGUGCACAUCCUGACGGUACCUAAUCAGAAAGCCACGGCUAACUACGUG